AGUUUGAUCAUGGCUCAGGAUGAACGCUAGCGGCAGGCUUAACACAUGCAAGUCGAGGGGUAGAGGAAGCUUGCUUCCUUGAGACCGGCGCACGGGUGCGUAACGCGUAUGCAAUCUACCUUAUACAGGGGGAUAGCCCAGAGAAAUUUGGAUUAAUACCCCAUAGUAUAAUUGAAUGGCAUCAUUUAAUUAUUAAAGUUCCAACGGUAUAAGAUGAGCAUGCGUCCCAUUAGCUAGUUGGUGUGGUAACGGCACACCAAGGCGACGAUGGUAGGGGUCCUGAGAGGGAGAUCCCCCACACUGGUACUGAGACACGGACCAGACUCCUACGGGAGGCAGCAGUGAGGAAUAUUGGUCAAUGGGCGCAAGCCUGAACCAGCCAUGCCGCGUGCAGGAUGACGGUCCUAUGGAUUGUAAACUGCUUUUGUACAGGAAGAAACACUCCCUCGUGAGGGAGCUUGACGGUACUGUAAGAAUAAGGAUCGGCUAACUCCGUG
rnacentral:rRNA from 1 species